CGGGUGAGUAACGCGUGGGUAACCUGCCUCAUACAGGGGGAUAACAGUUGGAAACGACUGCUAAUACCGCAUAAGCGCACAGGAUUGCAUGAUCCAGUGUGAAAAACUCCGGUGGUAUGAGAUGGACCCGCGUCUGAUUAGCCAGUUGGCAGGGUAACGGCCUACCAAAGCGACGAUCAGUAGCCGACCUGAGAGGGUGACCGGCCACAUUGGGACUGAGACACGGCCCAAACUCCUACGGGAGGCAGCAUG
rnacentral:rRNA from 1 species